rnacentral:rRNA from 1 species
AUACCCUGGUAGUCCACGCCCUAAACGAUGUACACUAGUUGUUGGGGUGCUAGUCAUCUCAGUAAUGCAGCUAACGCAUUAAGUGUACCGCCUGGGGAGUACGGUCGCAAGAUUAAAACUCAAAGGAAUAGACGGGGACCCGCACAAGCGGUGGAGCAUGUGGUUUAAUUCGAAGAUACGCGAAGAACCUUACCUGGGCUUGAUAUCCUAAGAACCUUUUAGAGAUAAGAGGGUGCUAGCUUGCUAGAACUUAGAGACAGGUGCUGCACGGCUGUCGUCAGCUCGUGUCGUGAGAUGUUGGGUUAAGUCCCGCAACGAGCGCAACCCACGUAUUUAGUUGCUAACGGUUCGGCCGAGCACUCUAAAUAGACUGCCUUCGUAAGGAGGAGGAAGGUGUGGACGACGUCAAGUCAUCAUGGCCCUUAUGCCCAGGGCGACACACGUGCUACAAUGGCAUAUACAAUGAGACGCAAUACCGCGAGGUGGAGCAAAUCUAUAAAAUAUGUCCCAGUUCGGAUUGUUCUCUGCAACUCGAGAGCAUGAAGCCGGAAUCGCUAGUAAUCGUAGAUCAGCCAUGCUACGGUGAAUACGUUCCCGGGUCUUGUACUCACCGCCCGUCACACCAUGGGAGUUGAUUUCACUCGAAGCCGGAAUACUAAACUAGUUACCGUCCACAGUGGAAUCAGCGACUGGGGUGAAGUCGUAACAAGGUAACCGUAGGAGAACCUGCGGUUGGAUCACCUCCUUU